rnacentral:tRNA from 1 species
GCCUGGGUGGCUCAGUUGGUGAAGCAUCCGACUUCGGCUCGGGUCACGAUCUCAGGGUUCGUGAGUUCGAGCCCCACGUUGGGCU